rnacentral:lncRNA from 1 species
AACAGGUUCAGCAGGAGGUCCAAUAGGACAAGGCUGGAUGGCAAAUCUUGGAUCGGGUUUAUCUUUUGUAAGGGCACUAGGAGGAGUCACAAUUCUGUUAGAGCACUGGCCAAAGGUGCCUCUAUAGGUGGAGGAUGGUUUGGCAUAGGUUCAAAGUCUAGGGUUGUAGGGAUGGAGCUAGUUUCUAGCACCAACAGUGGUGAUGCACAGCAUGAUUUUAUAUAAGAUAUGUGGGUAUCGAAGAGCCAUGAUUCUGGGGAGAC